rnacentral:rRNA from 1 species
CAGCCGCCGCGGUAAUGCGAAGGGUGCAAGCGUUAAUCGGAAUUACUGGCGUAAAGCGUGCGUAGGCGGUGAGUUAAGUCUGCUGUGAAAUCCCCGGGCUCAACCUGGGAAUGGCAGUGGAUACUGGCUCGCUAGAGUGUGUCAGAGGAUGGUGGAAUUCCCGGUGUAGCGGUGAAAUGCGUAGAGAUCGGGAGGAACAUCAGUGGCGAAGGCGGCCAUCUGGGACAACACUGACGCUGAGGCACGAAAGCGUGGGGAGCAAACAGGAUUAGAGACCCCCGUAGUCCCUGUCUCUUAUACA